UGUAUUCACUACUGUAAGUCGCUCUGGAUAAGAGCAUCUGCUAAAUGACCAAAA
rfam:Salmo salar isolate Sally breed double haploid chromosome ssa27, whole genome shotgun sequence.